UAGACACUGUAAAAUCUGUUGCCUUGUAUCUAUUUUAUGUUAAAAGGAUUAUUACAAACACACUUGAAUGAUCAUUGUGCCCCUGACUACACUGGAACUUCCUUUUGAAUGUAUUUUGGGCCUACGGCCUUUUACUGGAAAUAUACUCUGCUCUCUGUCUCUCUGCAUAACACUUUAU